GCGCUUGUAGCUCAGCGGAUUAGAGCGCUGCCCUGCGGAGGCAGAGGUCGUGGGUUCGAAUCCCACCAAGCGUACCA
rnacentral:tRNA from 1 species